rnacentral:rRNA from 1 species
GACGAACGCUGGCGGCGUGCUUAACACAUGCAAGUCGAACGGAAAGGCCCUGAGUUUGUGGGGUGCUCGAGUGGCGAACGGGGGAGUAUCACGUGUGUAACCUGCCCUUGUCUUUGGGAUAACUUCACGAAACUGGGGCUAAUAUCGGAUAGGAUCUUCUGCUGCAUGGUGGGGGUUGGAAAGUGUCGGCGGUUGGGGAUGGAGUAGCGGCUUACGAGCUUGUUGGUGGGGUUGUGGAGUACCAAGGAUUUGACGGGUAGCCGGCCUGGCAGGGUGACCGGCCACAUUGGGACUGGGAUACGGCCCAGAGGGCUACGGGGGGCAAGGGUGGGGAAUAUUGCACAAUGGGCGGAGGCCUGAUGCAGCAACGCCGCGUGCGGAAUGACGUCUUUCGGGUAGGAAACCGCUUUCGCCUGUGACGAAGCGUGAGGGACGGUAAUAGAGAAAGAAGCACCGGCUAACUACGU